GAUGAACGCUGGCGGCGUGCUUAACACAUGCAAGUCGAACGGUGAAGCAGAGCUUGCUUUGUGGAUCCGUGGCGAAAGGGUGAGUAACACGUGAGCAUCAUGCCCCUGUCUCUGGGAUAAGCGCUGGAAACGGUGUCUAUUACUGGAUAUGGGCUGUGCCCGUGUGUUCAGGGGUUGGAAAGAUUUUUGCGGUUGGGGUAGGACUCGCGGCUUAUCAGCUUGUUGGUGGGGUAUGGGCUCACCAAGGCGUUGACGGGUAGCCGGCCUGAGAGGGUGACCGGCCACACUGGGACUGAGACACGGCCCAGACUCCUACGGGAGGCAGCAGUGGGGAAUAUUGCACAAUGGGCGGAAGCCUGAUGCAGCAACGCCGCGUGAGGGAUGACGGCCUUCGGGUUGUAAACCGCUUUUGGCAGGGAAGAAGCGAAAGUGACGGUACCUGCAGAAAAAGCGCCGGCUAACUACGUG
rnacentral:rRNA from 1 species